UACGGAGGGUGCGAGCGUUGUCCGGAAUCACUGGGCGUAAAGGGCGCGUAGGCGGCGCGGAUAGUCGGCGGUGAAAGCCCGGAGCUCAACUCCGGGUCGGCCGUCGAUACUUCCGGGCUUGAGCACUGUAGAGGCAGAUGGAAUUCCGGGUGUAGCGGUGGAAUGCGUAGAGAUCCGGAGGAACACCGGUGGCGAAGGCGGCUUCCUGGACCGACACUGACGCUGAGGCGCGAAAGCCAGGGGAGCAAACGGG
rnacentral:rRNA from 1 species